rnacentral:rRNA from 1 species
UACGAAGGGGGCGAGCGUUGUUCGGAUUUACUGGGCGUAAAGGGCGCGCAGGCGGCUUUGUUUGUCAGGCGUGAAAGCCCCGGGCUUAACCUGGGAACUGCGUUUGAUACGGCAGGGCUAGAGUUCGGGAGAGGAGAGUGGAAUUCCCAGUGUAGAGGUGAAAUUCGCAGAUAUCAGGAAGAACACCCGUGGCGAAGGCGGCUCUCUGGGACGGUACUGACGCUGAGACGCGAAAGCGUGGGGAGCGAACCGG